GAUUUCCCACUUGGGAGUAAGACCGGGGAUCUCAAGUCCUCUGUGUCCGAAUCCUUGGUGGUCAUUCUCGGGGAGCUCUGCGCAGGCAUUCACUUGUCUGUGUGGGGUUUUUUGAGACAUUUACUGUGAAAAAAUUAGAGUGUACAAUGCAGGCAUUCGCUAUUGAAUACAUUAGCAUGGAAUAAUAAUCUAGGACUUCGGUCUUGUUUGUUGGUUUCUUGGGAUUGAAGUAAUGAUUGAUAGGGAUAGUUGGGGGUGCUCGUAUUGAGUGGCCAGAGGUGAAAUUCUUGGAUUCACUCAAGACGGACAACAGCGAAAGCAUU
rnacentral:rRNA from 1 species